UCAGUCAUAACCCAAAAUAUAAAUGGAACUUUAAAAUUACUUUUUACCUAACGUUUUCGUGUUUCACGGUGCCUAGGAACGAGCAAAGAAUCCUUCGAUGCUUACGUGCGCCAUGGAUCCUAUCAUACCAAAUGAGCCGUGAUUUCCACGACGAAAGAAGUAUUCGAUAGAUCAAAUGAUGAUGGUCGAAAAAGAAACCCAUCGGAUGUGAAGAUUCAACUCAAAUCAAAACGAGAUGAGGUAGGAUUCGUCAAGAUAGAUUGGAAACCAAGUGUCCUAAAAGUGAAAUCGGAGGAAUUCGAGACAGAUUCUUGAGAUCGAGCAUAUCGGAGUUGAGAUCGUUGCUUUCGAGGCCAUCAAAGAUCGAAAACGAAAGAGGAAGUUUAGAUAUCUAACCUGGAUUUUCGCCUUUACUCUGCCGCUUCUCCUCCCAAGUCGAGGCUCGAUGCAAUCAAAGAUUAAAAGCGAAGGAAGAACUUUAGAUAUCUGACCUAGCUCUUCGCCUUUACUCCUCUCUGCUCCUUCACCGCCUUUCGACUCGGGAGAGAAGACGACGUCCUGAUGGGGCUUCA
rnacentral:lncRNA from 1 species